UGCGUACCUUUUGUAUAAUGGGUCAGCGACUUAUAUUCUGUAGCAAGGUUAACCGAAUAGGGGAGCCGAAGGGAAACCGAGUCUUAACUGGGCGUUAAGUUGCAGGGUAUAGACCCGAAACCCGGUGAUCUAGCCAUGGGCAGGUUGAAGGUUGGGUAACACUAACUGGAGGACCGAACCGACUAAUGUUGAAAAAUUAGCGGAUGACUUGUGGCUGGGGGUGAAAGGCCAAUCAAACCGGGAGAUAGCUGGUUCUCCCCGAAAGCUAUUUAGGUAGCGCCUCGUGAAUUCAUCUCCGGGGGUAGAGCACUGUUUCGGCAAGGGGGUCAUCCCGACUUACCAACCCGAUGCAAACUGCGAAUACCGGAGAAUGUUAUCACGGGAGACACACGGCGGGUGCUAACGUCCGUCGUGAAGAGGGAAACAACCCAGACCGCCAGCUAAGGUCCCAAAGUCAUGGUUAAGUGGGAAACGAUGUGGGAAGGCCCAGACAGCCAGGAUGUUGGCUUAGAAGCAGCCAUCAUUUAAAGAAAGCGUAAUAGCUCACUGGUCGAGUCGGCCUGCGCGGAAGAUGUAACGGGGCUAAACCAUGCACCGAAGCUGCGGCAGCGACGCUGAUGCGUUGUUGGGUAGGGGAGCGUUCUGUAAGCCUGUGAAGGUGUGCUGUGAGGCAUGCUGGAGGUAUCAGAAGUGCGAAUGCUGACAUAAGUAACGAUAAAGCGGGUGAAAAGCCCGCUCGCCGGAAGACCAAGGGUUCCUGUCCAACGUUAAUCGGGGCAGGGUGAGUCGACCCCUAAGGCGAGGCCGAAAGGCGUAGUCGAUGGGAAACAGGUUAAUAUUCCUGUACUUGGUGUUACUGCGAAGGGGGGACGGAGAAGGCUAUGUUGGCCGGGCGACGGUUGUCCCGGUUUAAGCGUGUAGGCUGGUUUUCCAGGCAAAUCCGGAAAACUAAGGCUGAGGCGUGAUGACGAGGCACUACGGUGCUGAAGCAACAAAUGCCCUGCUUCCAGGAAAAGCCUCUAAGCAUCAGGUAACAUCAAAUCGUACCCCAAACCGACACAGGUGGUCAGGUAGAGAAUACCAAGGCGCUUGAGAGAACUCGGGUGAAGGAACUAGGCAAAAUGGUGCCGUAACUUCGGGAGAAGGCACGCUGAUAUGUAGGUGAAGUCCCUCGCGGAUGGAGCUGAAAUCAGUCGAAGAUACCAGCUGGCUGCAACUGUUUAUUAAAAACACAGCACUGUGCAAACACGAAAGUGGACGUAUACGGUGUGACGCCUGCCCGGUGCCGGAAGGUUAAUUGAUGGGGUCAGCGCAAGCGAAGCUCUUGAUCGAAGCCCCGGUAAACGGCGGCCGUAACUAUAACGGUCCUAAGGUAGCGAAAUUCCUUGUCGGGUAAGUUCCGACCUGCACGAAUGGCGUAAUGAUGGCCAGGCUGUCUCCACCCGAGACUCAGUGAAAUUGAACUCGCUGUGAAGAUGCAGUGUACCCGCGGCAAGACGGAAAGACCCCGUGAACCUUUACUAUAGCUUGACACUGAACAUUGAGCCUUGAUGUGUAGGAUAGGUGGGAGGCUUUGAAGUGUGGACGCCAGUCUGCAUGGAGCCGACCUUGAAAUACCACCCUUUAAUGUUUGAUGUUCUAACGUUGACCCGUAAUCCGGGUUGCGGACAGUGUCUGGUGGGUAGUUUGACUGGGGCGGUCUCCUCCUAAAGAGUAACGGAGGAGCACGAAGGUUGGCUAAUCCUGGUCGGACAUCAGGAGGUUAGUGCAAUGGCAUAAGCCAGCUUGACUGCGAGCGUGACGGCGCGAGCAGGUGCGAAAGCAGGUCAUAGUGAUCCGGUGGUUCUGAAUGGAAGGGCCAUCGCUCAACGGAUAAAAGGUACUCCGGGGAUAACAGGCUGAUACCGCCCAAGAGUUCAUAUCGACGGCGGUGUUUGGCACCUCGAUGUCGGCUCAUCACAUCCUGGGGCUGAAGUAGGUCCCAAGGGUAUGGCUGUUCGCCAUUUAAAGUGGUACGCGAGCUGGGUUUAGAACGUCGUGAGACAGUUCGGUCCCUAUCUGCCGUGGGCGCUGGAGAACUGAGGGGGGCUGCUCCUAGUACGAGAGGACCGGAGUGGACGCAUCACUGGUGUUCGGGUUGUCAUGCCAAUGGCACUGCCCGGUAGCUAAAUGCGGAAGAGAUAAGUGCUGAAAGCAUCUAAGCACGAAACUUGCCCCGAGAUGAGUUCUCCCUGACUCCUUGAGAGUCCUGAAGGAACGUUGAAG
rnacentral:rRNA from 1 species